rnacentral:rRNA from 1 species
GAUGAACGCUGGCGGCGUGCCUAAUACAUGCAAGUCGAGCGAACGGACGAGAAGCUUGCUUCUCUGAUGUUAGCGGCGGACGGGUGAGUAACACGUGGAUAACCUACCUAUAAGACUUGGAUAACGUCGGGAAACCGGAGCUAAUACCGGAUAAUAUUUUGAACCGCAUGGUUCAAAAGUGAAAGACGGUCUUUCUGUCACUUAUAGAUGUAUCCGCGCUGCAUUAGCUAGUUGGUAAGGUAACGGCUUACCAAGGCAACGAUGCAUAGCCGACCUGAGAGGGUGAUCGGCCACACGGGAACUGAGCCACGGUCAAGACUACUACGGGAGGCAGCAGUAGGGAAUCUUCCGCAAUGGGCGAAAGCCUGACGGAGCAACGCCGCGUGAGUGAUGAAGGUCUUCGGAUCGUAAAAAUCUGUUAUUAGGGAAGAACAUAUGUGUAAGUAACUGUGCACAUAUUGACGGUACCUAAUCAGAAAGCCACGGCUAACUACGUG